GGGAACGUGCCCUUUGCUACGGAAUAGCCCCGGGAAACUGGGAGUAAUACCGUAUGUGCCCCUUGGCCUUGGCGGUCAUGGGGGAAAGAUUUAUCGGCAAAGGAUCGGCCCGCGUUGGAUUAGGUAGUUGGUGGGGUAAUGGCCCACCAAGCCGACGAUCCAUAGCUGGUUUGAGAGGAUGAUCAGCCACACUGGGACUGAGACACGGCCCAGACUCCUACGGGAGGCAGCAGUGGGGAAUCUUAGACAAUGGGGGCAACCCUGAUCUAGCCAUGCCGCGUGAGUGAUGAAGGCCUUAGGGUUGUAAAGCUCUUUCAGCUGGGAAGAUAAUGACGGUACCAGCAGAAGAAGCCCCGGCUAACUCCGUGCCAGCAGCCGCGGUAAUACGGAGGGGGCUAGCGUUGUUCGAAAUUACUGGGCGUAAAGCGCACGUAGGCGGACCGGACAGUCAGAGGUGAAAUCCCAGGGCUCAACCUUGGAACUGCCUUUGAAACUAUCGGUCUGGAGUUCGAGAGAGGUGAGUGGAAUUCCGAGU
rnacentral:rRNA from 1 species